GACGAACGCUGGCGGCGUGCCUAAUACAUGCAAGUAGAACGCUGAAGGAGGAGCUUGCUUCUCCGGAUGAGUUGCGAACGGGUGAGUAACGCGUAGGUAACCUGCCUGGUAGCGGGGGAUAACUAUUGGAAACGAUAGCUAAUACCGCAUAACAGUAGAUAUUGCAUGAUAUCUGCUUGAAAGGUGCAAUUGCAUCACUACCAGAUGGACCUGCGUUGUAUUAGCUAGUUGGUGGGGUAACGGCUCACCAAGGCGACGAUACAUAGCCGACCUGAGAGGGUGAGCGGCCACACUGGGACUGAGACACGGCCCAGACUCCUACGGGAGGCAGCAGUAGGGAAUCUUCGGCAAUGGACGGAAGUCUGACCGAGCAACGCCGCGUGAGUGAAGAAGGUUUUCGGAUCGUAAAGCUCUGUUGUAAGAGAAGAACGAGUGUGAGAGUGGAAAGUUCACACUGUGACGGUAUCUUACCAGAAAGGGACGGCUAACUACGUG
rnacentral:rRNA from 1 species